AAUGAACGCUGGCGGCGUGCCUAACACAUGCAAGUCGAACGCGAAAGGGACUUCGGUCCUGAGUAGAGUGGCGCACGGGUGAGUAACGCGUGGGUAAUCUGCCUUAGAGUGGGGGAUAACAUUCCGAAAGGGGUGCUAAUCCCGCAUACGACAUCAUUGCUUAUGUAGUGAUGGGAAAGGGGGCCUCUGAUUCAAGCUUCCGCUCUAAGAUGAGCCCGCGUCCGAUUAGCUAGUUGGUGAGGUAAAGGCUCACCAAGGCUACGAUCGGUAACUGGUCUGAGAGAUGAUCAGUCACACUGGAACUGAGACACGGUCCAGACUCCUACGGGAGGCAGCAGUGAGGAAUAUUGCGCAAUGGGGGAAACCCUGACGCAGCGACGCCGCGUGGGUGAUGAAGGCCUUCGGGUCGUAAAGCCCUGUCGGAGGGAAAGAAAGGGUGAGUAGCUAAUACCUAUUCACAUUGACGGUACCCUCAGAGGAAGCACCGGCUAACUCCGUGCCAGCCGCCGCCGUAA
rnacentral:rRNA from 1 species